CCCACCUGAUCCCAUCCCGAACUCAGAAGUGAAACGCAAUCGCGCCGAUGGUAGUGUGGGGUCUCCCCAUGUGAGAGUAGGUCAUCGCCAAGC
rnacentral:rRNA from 2 species